GGGGAGGGCGGCGGGCGGCGGGCGCACGCACACCCCUCGCCUCUCAGGCGCUGUCGGCUCCCCUCGGCGGCACUCGCGCCCCUUCCGGCUUCCCCGUCUCUCUCUCUCUCUCUCGCCGUAGCUCCGCCGCCACCUGGGCCUCACGUGACCCAGGACUCCCCGACACGUGACGCGAGAAAGGGCGCGCUGGGGCGGGCUCAGGACGCUCCUGCCCCUCCUCCCGGAAGCGGAACGCCGGGCGCGCGUGCGCACUGUGUGCCGGGGCCGCUCUCUCCCAGUCCGGACGUUAUUAUGCUUUUCGUUCCGGAAUAGGAGGGUCGGGGGCCGAGGCUUUUUCGCCUUUCCUUCCUCCCCAUGGCUUCCGCAGCUAUGGACCUUAACAGCCGCUGCCGCCUCUGCGGAGCUGCAUGGCCACUACCCCGGCUCUAGGACGUGCGCUCCUCUACCAGAAGCCCUACGGACGGACGGAGGCAAUUAACAAACACUGCAAUGGAAAGCAAGUGCUGUGGCCGCCCUGUGUUCUGCUCCUGGUCAACAAUGUAUACAUUCCUGCUAGGCACCGUAUUCAUUGCCUUAAGUUCAAGUCGAAUCCUACUGGUAAAAUAUUCGGCCAAUGAAGAAAACAAGUAUGAUUAUCUUCCAACUACCGUGAAUGUGUGCUCAGAAUUGGUGAAACUAGUUUUCUGUGUGCUUGUGUCAUUCUGGGUUGUAAAGAAAGAAGAUCAUCAAAGUAGAAACUUGAGAUGUGCUUCCUGGAAGGAAUUCUGUAAUUUCAUGAAGUGGUCCAUUCCCGCCUUUCUUUAUUUCCUGGAUAAUUUGAUUGUCUUCUAUGUCAUUUCCUACCUUCAGCCUGCCAUGGCUGUUAUCUUCUCAAAUUUUAGCAUUAUAACAACAGCUCUUCUAUUCAGGAUAGUGCUGAAGAGGCAUCUAAGUUGGAUACAAUGGGCUUCCCUCCUGAUUCUGUUCCUGUCCAUUGUGGCUCUCACUGCUGGGACCGAAACGUCCCAGCAUAACCUGGCAGGGCAUGGAUUUCAUCACGAUGCCUUCUUCAGCCCAUCCAAUUCCUGCCUUCUUUUCAGAAGUGAGUGUCCCAGAAAAGACAACUGCACGGAAAAGGCAUGGACUUUUCCUGAAGCUAAGUGGAACGCCACAGCCAUGGUUUUUAGCCACAUCCGUCUCGGCUUGGGCCAUGUGCUGAUCAUCGUCCAGUGUUUUAUUUCUUCAAUGGCCAACAUCUAUAAUGAAAAGAUACUGAAGGAAGGGAACCAGCUCACCGAAAGCAUCUUCAUACAGAACAGCAAACUCUAUUUCUUUGGCAUCCUUUUUAAUGGACUGACGCUGGGCCUUCAGGGCAGUAACCGUAAUCAGAUUAAGAACUGCGGGGUUUUCUAUGGCCACAAUGUGUUUUCAGUUGCUCUUAUUUUUGUGACUGCAUUCCAGGGCCUCUCCGUGGCUUUUAUCCUGAAGUUCCUGGAUAACAUGUUCCAUGUCUUGAUGGCCCAGGUCACCACUGUCAUCAUCACAACAGUGUCUGUGCUGGUCUUUGACUUCAGGCCCUCCCUAGAAUUUUUCUUAGAAGCUCCCUCAGUUCUUCUCUCCAUAUUUAUUUACAAAGCCAGCAAGCCUCAAGGUCUGGAAUAUGCACCUAGGCAAGAAAGAGUCCGAGAUCUAGGUGGCAGUCUUUGGGAGCGCUCCUCUGGGGAUGGAGAAGAACUGGAGAGACUUACCAAACCGAAAAGUGACAUUGAAUCAGAUGAAGAUACUUUUUAAUUGGUACCGAAAUGAUUGACAACUCUCAGAAACCCUUAUUUUCACAUUUUCAGCAUGUGUGAUGUUUAUCUUUUCACUUUGAUAAACAAGAACAUUUCUCAAGCAUAAUAACUGUUUGCAUAUAUCUAACCACUCCCUGAAUAGUUCCAUCCAAGGCUUAGAGUCCGCAAAGGCUAAAAUGUUCUAAGGAACUGAUGGGAGUAAUAGUCUGGAGACUGCAUUAAUGGUACUUGGGAAAGGGUGUUUACAAAUGAAUCAAUGCCACCAUAUUCCCGUGGAUAUGUAGACAACUUCUUAAAUCUGGGAGAGGGAAGUUCCCAGAAGAAAUGGUGCUUGCAUUGAUCUACAAGUUGAGAAGGUAUGUGAACUUCAAUGUUAACUAUACUCCAGAAAAUGAGACCAGCUGGAUUCUACUGAUUCCACUGUGUGUGGACUGCCUGCCUCUGUAUCUGGGGAAGGAUCUCUCUGCCGAAUGUUCACCUCAGAGCCCUGCGAUUUCUCCAGCAACAAACAAUUCCUGGAAAUUCACGAUAGUGAAUUGUGACAAUCAGCAACUUUGUCCUCCUCAGAGUCUUCCAGAUUUCUCUCACUCUACUGGGUACUUUUUAAUCUAAAUAGUGUAAUUCCAUAAUAAUUCUCAAAAACUUUAUCUUCUUUGUUGCUGCUGUUUGGAAGGAAACACUUUCAUUAAAAAACAAACAAACAAAACAAUACCCAGAUUUCAAAUGAUCUGAUCUGUACUCCCAGAAGACAGAGAUUCAGGUGAUCUAACUCUCUUAUCCUCCCAUUUACUGAAAUGUACUUUGUGCUUUUCCAGAUUAGAGAAAUCGAGGACACUUCCCAACAGUGUUUUCCUCUGCCUGUGUCUCAGUCCCUUUGCUGAGCUAUGGCUUAUUCUACAGCACCCAAAUGAUGAUUCAUGGCUUCUUGGCCAUGAAAGGAAAGAGAGUUCAGACACAUUGCUAUUUCAGUGCCAGUGAAAAGUAAUCUCAGAUUAUGAAAAAGUAUUGUCUUUCUUUGGUUGCCGAAACUAGAACUUUGCUAAUAUUAUUCUGUAAGUAAAUUGUCUAUGAUUAUCCAUUUGGUUUCCUUGGGAGAUGAAACUCCUUCAUUAUUGUAUUUCCUGAAAUUGAGACUAUUUAGACCUCGUACUUAAAAAUUGUCCCUAUAUAAUUUCAGAAGCAAUGGUAAAUAAAUCCAUUUUUUAUUGGCAAUUUUAAGCUAAGCAUCACCUUGGCAAAUAUUUAAGAGCAAGUACAUCAUCCUGGUCCUCCUACCUGCACACUUUGAGCAGCUGGUGUAGACUGUUCUAAAAAGAGAGAGGGGGAUCCCUGGGUGGCGCAGCGGUUUAGCGCCUGCCUUUGGCCCAAGGCGCGAUCCUGGAGACCCGAGAUCGAAUCCCACAUCGGGCUCCCGGU